rnacentral:rRNA from 1 species
AUACGGAGUAUGCGAGCGUUAUCCGGAUUUAUUGGGUUUAAAGGGUGCGUAGGCUGUGCGUUAAGUCAGGGGUGAAAUGCCGUCGCUCAACGACGGAGCUGCCCUUGAUACUGGCGUGCUGGAGUACGGAUGCCGUUGGAGGAAUGAGUGGUGUAGCGGUGAAAUGCUUAGAUAUCACUCAGAACACCGAUUGCGAAGGCAUCUGACGAAUCCGUCACUGACGCUGAGGCACGAAAGCGUGGGGAUAGAACAGGAUUAGAUACCCUGGUAUUCCACGCCGUAAACGAUGAUGACUAACCGUCGGCGAUAGACAGCCGGUGGCCAAGCGAAAGCGAUAAGUCAUCCACCUAGGGAGUACGUCGGCAACGAUGAAACUCAAAUGAAUUGACGGGG